CAGAAAAUAGUUUAAAAAAAAAUAUUAAUUUUGGGGAUUAAUGAUAAAGAGAUUCUUUUUUUCUGA
rnacentral:tRNA from 1 species